CAGUCGCCGCGGUAAUACGUAGGUGGCAAGCGUUGUCCGGAAUUAUUGGGCGUAAAGGGCUCGCAGGCGGUUUCUUAAGUCUGAUGUGAAAGCCCCCGGCUCAACCGGGGAGGGUCAUUGGAAACUGGGAAACUUGAGUGCAGAAGAGGAGAGUGGAAUUCCACGUGUAGCGGUGAAAUGCGUAGAGAUGUGGAGGAACACCAGUGGCGAAGGCGACUCUCUGGUCUGUAACUGACGCUGAGGAGCGAAAGCGUGGGAGCGAACAGGAUUAGAUACCCCCGUAGUCCCUGUCUCUUAUACA
rnacentral:rRNA from 1 species